UGAGGAAUAUUGGUCAAUGGGCGAGAGCCUGAACCAGCCAAGUCGCGUGAAGGAAGACAGUCCUAAGGAUUGUAAACUUCUUUUAUACGGGAAUAACGGGCGAUACGAGUAUUGCAUUGAAUGUACCGUAAGAAUAAGCAUCGGCUAACUCCGUGCCAGCAGCCGCGGUAAUACGGAGGAUGCGAGCGUUAUCCGGAUUUAUUGGGUUUAAAGGGUGCGUAGGUUGUUCGGUAAGUCAGCGGUGAAACCUGAGCGCUCAACGUUCAGCCUGCCGUUGGAACUGCCGGGCUUGAGUUCAGUGGCGGCAGGCGGAAUUCGUGGUGUAGCGGUGAAAUGCAUAGAUAUCACGAGGAACUCCGAUUGCGAAGGCAGCUUGCCAUACUGCGACUGACACUGAAGCACGAAGGCGUGGGUAUCAAACAGG
rnacentral:rRNA from 1 species